CUCAGAAUCACCUCAGGAAUCUACCAUUAACCGGUGGUACGUUUUUCAGAGACUCUUGGGCAAUGAAAUUUUCAUAGAUCCAGACUAUAAAGUCCCGGCAAACUCUAAAUUAUUAAGCCUGUUGAAACCACAGUUUCUCAAGGUAUUUGACUUUCUUUUAAACUCUUAAGCUUGACAUUAAAACAUAUUCGACAUUUUACACAUUUUUUUUAAGAUUUAAACACCCUAUUAUUUAAAGAACGUCAUAGAAAAUCUUUCUUAAACAUUAAACAUUUUGCCGAAAUCUUUCAACUUUUAUUCUUCUCUAGUUUAUGUUUAAAAAUUCUAAGAUUCUGAUAUUUUCAAUCUUUGUACCUUUCAAAAUUUAUGGAAACUUUAUUUCUAACAAUAUAAAUAAUUUUCACGAGCAACAUUUAAUUACAAAACUAAAGUAAUUCUUUUCUCAGGAUGCAACCGUGUUACAUUUGUCACGCGUAUUUCAUUGCGCUUCUGUAUGAUGUAUGUACGCGAGAACGUUCGCUCGACGAUUUAUUUACUUGGCACGUGCCAGGAACGUCAACGGUUGAAGUAAAAUACACGUGUCGGUUAUAAUCAUUUUCGGAACGUCACGAAAGAAACCCCCAGGGCCUUUUUCCAGCAGAAAUUCGGCAGAAAAUCUGACAAAUACAGAAUGCUAUUCACGGAGAACACCCUCAAGAUCCACUCUUAGGACCACGAUUCACGCCUAUGUAACUCCAGAUACAAUUUUAAUUAUGCUGGGAUCACAACAGAAUAAGAUUGAAGCAGGAGAGAUCUCUCAUCAUGCUGUACGACCAAAGCAGCUGCUUUUCCGAAGAGAACACGCGAGGGUGGAUCAAUAAUGAAAUGGGGGUUGGCUGGGAUUUCCAGCGCCAUCCCUCCAUGUCAUGUGGAACUAGCAACUGUUACUUAUUCCUUCCUUCUUUCCUCGUGGUUGAAUUUUAAUCCUGUUACUCUUGCUUUGGGUUCGCAUUCGAUAUAUUUCUGCAUUUUAACAUGCGAUAAAUCUGCAGAUAUUACUUCUGACCUUUCUUAAUGAUCCUAACUUUCCGUUUUCUGAUAGGGAUUUCUACAAAAUGGAAUAAAAUUUUAUUUAACUAAAAAAAGAUAAAUAUUAAGGUACGAUGUUAAAUUAAAAUACCAAUUAGAAUAUAAAAGUUCAAAGUUUUUAAGAUUUUAAAAUAUAUACAGAAAAUAAAUGAUCAGCAGGAUUAAAAGAAGGUAUAGUUAGUAGAUUAAUAUAUCGUCUUUGAUCGAAGAAUUUUUAUAAUAUAAUAUCAAAUUUUCAUAAUUUAUAAUUUAAUAUCAAUUUUAUAAUAUCAAAGAAAAUUAUCUUAUUAUAUCUUUAUUAAUGAGGUGCGUGUAGUCUAAACAGAAAUGGAAGAACAUAUAUAGGUUUUUACAAGAUAUGUUAUAAUUUCAAUUUCGAGUAUUAUUACUUCGUGCUUCUGGAGGAUUUACUCGAGAAAUGGUAAGUUUACUCUUACGUGUAGUCGAGAUUGUGUAGUCGAAGACUACAAACCACAAUUGAGGAUAUAUACUUUUUUACUGGUAUUGUAUAAAUAUAGUUGCACAUUUCUCCCUCAGUUAUCGCAACACGAUUUAAUUAUUUUUCACCAAGGUUGAUCUGUAUCUAGACGUUGUGACACAAAUUACGCUCAGCAUUUUUCUCCGAUAAAUUAUAACCGAUUAAGAGAUUUUAUCGAUAUUAACAUUUUAAAUAAUAAUGAUACGACAAAUACUUUCAAUGCUUUCUUCAUAACAAUCUUUUUAGUUGCAAGAAGAUAAAACUUUAAAUAUAAUAUUAAUAAAUCUGAUAGAAUUAUUAUCGAUUUUGUUAAACUAAUUUAAUAACUUUCUGAUCAACAAAAUUGCGUAUAGCAGAGAGAAUAUCUUUUUUUCUUAUCAUUGAUUUUAGUUUCGUUGAACUUAUCGGGCAAAAAAAUUUAUUAUGUGUAAUUAUACAAUCUCCUGAAGCGCAAAUUCAUCUCGAAACUAAUUCACAAGCUCAUAAGUUCACCUUAUAUCGCCAGCUAUACACAAAUCUUACUUUACAAGCCAGCAACAACAGCAACCUUUCAUACCACGUUAUUAAUGCAAAUUCCUUUUAUACAAUUAAUUCCUUUGCUUAAUACUCUGCGUCGACAGAAUAAGGUAAGAGAAUAACAGAAACUAGGAGUAUACAAUAAUGCCGUAAUUCGAUUCUCCGCAAUAUAUAUUUACGCGGGAUGAAAAAUGAAAAAAUUUUCCAAUCACGAUCAGCUGAAUUAUCUGAAGUAACGCGAAAGUGAGAUGUAAAAGAACUGCACGGAUAUGCAUUCAUGCAUAUUGAUAGCGGAUUUACCAGUAUGAUGAUGAUGAUGAUGACGAUGAUCUUUGUUAUCCUUUGUAUCCCUACUCCAAUCCCCCAAAAUAUCAAGUUUAGAUGAGAACACGCUAAUGUACUUUUUAUAAUGAAAUACUUAAAGCACUCAUGAAUGCAAAAACAGCAUUAUACAAAAUCCGUAAAUCUUUAAUAUGCAACAGUGCAUAAUAGCUCUUGGAAUAAGAUGCUAAUAACUGUUACACUCUCUCACUUGUUAGAAAAAUUAAUCAACAUUUAUAAAAUAAACUAAAUUGCUCUUUCCCAUUCUCUUCAAGAAUAUCAGUUUCAGAGCCUCUGAAAAGAUAGAUUCUCCCUCUUUUCUCUUCUGUUUUUCCACGUAUAUUAUACAAGCUUCAUUAUUCUAUUCCUAAUCGUAAAUUUAAAAAGUUUCAUACAUUUAUUAAUGUUUCUACAUCGUGUAGUCUAAAACGACAACUUUAAACAUUAAAUAAGUGACGAUCAUUUAUGAGGUUCUAACACUAUCGCUGUGGGCUAUCAAUAUUUAUUCCGGUCUCGUGGCUGCACGAUGGAUACAGAAGAUCUUGUCCAAAUAUACAGGAGCAGCUGUGUGUGUGUGUGUGUGUGUGCAGCAACGGCGUCAGCAUCCCUUUAUAUCUCAAGAAGAGCAUCGAUUGAGGUACCUAUGAAAAGUCGUACCCAGGAAAUUGAAUAAAUUCUUGCUGAUAUCGAGUUCGAAUAUCUAGUCAUCGUUACCGUAUCUUGCUAUCUUGCAUUGAAUACUGUCAAAUCUACCAAAGUUGACACAAAUGAU